GGGUUGUGAGGUUAAGCGACUAAGCGUACACGGUGGAUGCCCUGGCAGUCAGAGGCGAUGAAGGACGUGCUAAUCUGCGAUAAGCGUCGGUAAGGUGAUAUGAACCGUUAUAACCGGCGAUUUCCGAAUGGGGAAACCCAGUGUGUUUCGACACACUAUCAUUAACUGAAUCCAUAGGUUAAUGAGGCGAACCGGGGGAACUGAAACAUCUAAGUACCCCGAGGAAAAGAAAUCAACCGAGAUUCCCCCAGUAGCGGCGAGCGAACGGGGAGCAGCCCAGAGCCUGAAUCAGUGUGUGUGUUAGUGGAAGCGUCUGGAAAGGCGCGCGAUACAGGGUGACAGCCCCGUACACAAAAAUGCACAUGCUGUGAGCUCGAUGAGUAGGGCGGGACACGUGGUAUCCUGUCUGAAUAUGGGGGGACCAUCCUCCAAGGCUAAAUACUCCUGACUGACCGAUAGUGAACCAGUACCGUGAGGGAAAGGCGAAAAGAACCCCGGCGAGGGGAGUGAAAAAGAACCUGAAACCGUGUACGUACAAGCAGUGGGAGCACAGAGCAAUCUGUGUGACUGCGUACCUUUUGUAUAAUGGGUCAGCGACUUAUAUUCUGUAGCAAGGUUAACCGAAUAGGGGAGCCGAAGGGAAACCGAGUCUUAACUGGGCGUUAAGUUGCAGGGUAUAGACCCGAAACCCGGUGAUCUAGCCAUGGGCAGGUUGAAGGUUGGGUAACACUAACUGGAGGACCGAACCGACUAAUGUUGAAAAAUUAGCGGAUGACUUGUGGCUGGGGGUGAAAGGCCAAUCAAACCGGGAGAUAGCUGGUUCUCCCCGAAAGCUAUUUAGGUAGCGCCUCGUGAAUUCAUCUCCGGGGGUAGAGCACUGUUUCGGCAAGGGGGUCAUCCCGACUUACCAACCCGAUGCAAACUGCGAAUACCGGAGAAUGUUAUCACGGGAGACACACGGCGGGUGCUAACGUCCGUCGUGAAGAGGGAAACAACCCAGACCGCCAGCUAAGGUCCCAAAGUCAUGGUUAAGUGGGAAACGAUGUGGGAAGGCCCAGACAGCCAGGAUGUUGGCUUAGAAGCAGCCAUCAUUUAAAGAAAGCGUAAUAGCUCACUGGUCGAGUCGGCCUGCGCGGAAGAUGUAACGGGGCUAAACCAUGCACCGAAGCUGCGGCAGCGACGCUUAUGCGUUGUUGGGUAGGGGAGCGUUCUGUAAGCCUGUGAAGGUGUGCUGUGAGGCAUGCUGGAGGUAUCAGAAGUGCGAAUGCUGACAUAAGUAACGAUAAAGCGGGUGAAAAGCCCGCUCGCCGGAAGACCAAGGGUUCCUGUCCAACGUUAAUCGGGGCAGGGUGAGUCGACCCCUAAGGCGAGGCCGAAAGGCGUAGUCGAUGGGAAACAGGUUAAUAUUCCUGUACUUGGUGUUACUGCGAAGGGGGGACGGAGAAGGCUAUGUUGGCCGGGCGACGGUUGUCCCGGUUUAAGCGUGUAGGCUGGUUUUCCAGGCAAAUCCGGAAAAUCAAGGCUGAGGCGUGAUGACGAGGCACUACGGUGCUGAAGCAACAAAUGCCCUGCUUCCAGGAAAAGCCUCUAAGCAUCAGGUAACAUCAAAUCGUACCCCAAACCGACACAGGUGGUCAGGUAGAGAAUACCAAGGCGCUUGAGAGAACUCGGGUGAAGGAACUAGGCAAAAUGGUGCCGUAACUUCGGGAGAAGGCACGCUGAUAUGUAGGUGAAGUCCCUCGCGGAUGGAGCUGAAAUCAGUCGAAGAUACCAGCUGGCUGCAACUGUUUAUUAAAAACACAGCACUGUGCAAACACGAAAGUGGACGUAUACGGUGUGACGCCUGCCCGGUGCCGGAAGGUUAAUUGAUGGGGUUAGCGCAAGCGAAGCUCUUGAUCGAAGCCCCGGUAAACGGCGGCCGUAACUAUAACGGUCCUAAGGUAGCGAAAUUCCUUGUCGGGUAAGUUCCGACCUGCACGAAUGGCGUAAUGAUGGCCAGGCUGUCUCCACCCGAGACUCAGUGAAAUUGAACUCGCUGUGAAGAUGCAGUGUACCCGCGGCAAGACGGAAAGACCCCGUGAACCUUUACUAUAGCUUGACACUGAACAUUGAGCCUUGAUGUGUAGGAUAGGUGGGAGGCUUUGAAGUGUGGACGCCAGUCUGCAUGGAGCCGACCUUGAAAUACCACCCUUUAAUGUUUGAUGUUCUAACGUUGACCCGUGAUCCGGGUUGCGGACAGUGUCUGGUGGGUAGUUUGACUGGGGCGGUCUCCUCCUAAAGAGUAACGGAGGAGCACGAAGGUUGGCUAAUCCUGGUCGGACAUCAGGAGGUUAGUGCAAUGGCAUAAGCCAGCUUGACUGCGAGCGUGACGGCGCGAGCAGGUGCGAAAGCAGGUCAUAGUGAUCCGGUGGUUCUGAAUGGAAGGGCCAUCGCUCAACGGAUAAAAGGUACUCCGGGGAUAACAGGCUGAUACCGCCCAAGAGUUCAUAUCGACGGCGGUGUUUGGCACCUCGAUGUCGGCUCAUCACAUCCUGGGGCUGAAGUAGGUCCCAAGGGUAUGGCUGUUCGCCAUUUAAAGUGGUACGCGAGCUGGGUUUAGAACGUCGUGAGACAGUUCGGUCCCUAUCUGCCGUGGGCGCUGGAGAAUUGAGGGGGGCUGCUCCUAGUACGAGAGGACCGGAGUGGACGCAUCACUGGUGUUCGGGUUGUCAUGCCAAUGGCACUGCCCGGUAGCUAAAUGCGGAAGAGAUAAGUGCUGAAAGCAUCUAAGCACGAAACUUGCCCCGAGAUGAGUUCUCCCUGACUCCUUGAGAGUCCUGAAGGAACGUUGAAGACGACGACGUUGAUAGGCCGGGUGUGUAAGCGCAGCGAUGCGUUGAGCUAACCGGUACUAAUGAACCGUGAGGCUUAACCUUACAACGCCGAAG
rnacentral:rRNA from 1 species